UUUUGUAAUUAAAUAAGAAAG
rnacentral:piRNA from 1 species